UUUUUGAAAAUAAUUUAAAGUUUAAUUUUCCCNCUGAAUAAAUUUAAAGGGCUGCAGUAUAUUGACUGUACAAAGGUAGCAUAAUCAUUAGUCUUUUAAUUGAAGACUUGUAUGAACGAUUUGAUGAGAUAUAAACUGUCUCUUUAUUAAUAAUAGAAUUUAAUUUUUUAGUCAAAAAGCUAAAAUUUUUUUAAAAGACGAGAAGACCCUAUAGAGUUUAAUUUUUUUUUAUUAAUUAAAAUUAUAUAAAAUUUAAAUUUAAUUAAUAAAAAAAAAUUUUAUUGGGGUGAUAGAAAAAUUAAAUAAACUUUUUUUAAAAAAUUAACAUUAAUUUAUGAAUUUAUGAUCCAUAAUUUAUGAUUAUAAGAUUAAAUUACCUUAGGGAUAACAGCGUAAUUUUUUUUUUUAGUUCAAAUAAAAAAAAAAGUUUGCGACCUCGAUGUUGGAUUAAGAUAAAAUUUAAAUGCAAAAGUUUAAAAUUUUGAUCUGUUCGAUCAUUAAAAUCUUACAUGAUCUG
rnacentral:rRNA from 1 species